rnacentral:rRNA from 1 species
GAGUUUGAUCGUGGCUCAGAGUGAACGCUGGCGGUAGGCCUAACACAUGCAAGUCGAACGGCAGCACAGUAAGAGCUUGCUCUUAUGGGUGGCGAGUGGCGGACGGGUGAGGAAUACAUCGGAAUCUACUUUUUCGUGGGGAUAACGUAGGGAAACUUACGCUAAUACCGCAUACGACCUACGGGUGAAAGCAGGGGAUCUUCGGACCUUGCGCGAUUGAAUGAGCCGAUGUCGGAUUAGCUAGUUGGCGGGGUAAAGGCCCACCAAGGCGACGAUCCGUAGCUGGUCUGAGAGGAUGAUCAGCCACACUGGAACUGAGACACGGUCCAGACUCCUACGGGAGGCAGCAGUGGGGAAUAUUGGACAAUGGGCGCAAGCCUGAUCCAGCCAUACCGCGUGGUGAAGAAGGCCUCGG